UUGUUUUGGCAGUAAAUAUAAUAAAACUGGAACAAUUCAGAGAAGGUGCCCCUGCACAAGGAUGACACUCAAGUUUGUAAAGUGUUCCAUAUUGAA
ensembl:snRNA U6 U6 spliceosomal RNA